UUCGGGUUCGCAUUGUAAUUUGUAGAGGAUGAUUUGGGGAAGCCGCCUGUCUAAGUUCCUUGGAACAGGACGUCAUAGAGGGUGAGAAUCCCGUAUGUGACAGGAAAUGGCACCCUAUGUAAAUCUCCUUCGACGAGUCGAGUUGUUUGGGAAUGCAGCUCUAAAUGGGAGGUAAAUUUCUUCUAAAGCUAAAUAUUGGCGAGAGACCGAUAGCGCACAAGUAGAGUGAUCGAAAGAUGAAAAGCACUUUGGAAAGAGAGUUAAAAAGCACGUGAAAUUGUUGAAAGGGAAGCGCUUGCAAUCAGACUUGUUUAAACUGUUCGGCCGGUCUUCUGACCGGUUUACUCAGUUUGGACAGGCCAGCAUCAGUUUCGGCGGCCGGAUAAAGGCUCUGGGAAUGUGGCCUCCACUUCGGUGGAGGUGUUAUAGCCCAG
rnacentral:rRNA from 1 species